rnacentral:rRNA from 1 species
UACGGGGGGGGCAAGCGUUGUUCGGAAUUACUGGGCGUAAAGGGUUUGUAGGUGGUCAACUAAGUCAGACGUGAAAUCCCUCAGCUUAACUGGGGAACUGCGUCUGAGACUGGAUGGCUCGAGUGCAGGAGAGGAACGCGGAAUUCCAGGUGUAGCGGUGAAAUGUGUAGAGAUCGGGAGGAACACCGGUGGCGAAGGCGGCAUCCUGGACCAACACUGACGCUGAGUGAGCGAAAGCCAGGGGAGCAAACGGG